rnacentral:rRNA from 1 species
GGGGACAAAGUGACAGGUGGUGCAUGGUUGUCGUCAGCUCGUGUCGUGAGAUGUUGGGUUAAGUCCCGCAACGAGCGCAACCCUUAAGCUUAGUUGCCAGCAUUAAGUUGGGCACUCUAAGUUGACUGCCGGUGACAAACCGGAGGAAGGUGGGGAUGACGUCAAAUCAUCAUGCCCCUUAUGAUUUGGGCUACACACGUGCUACAAUGGACAAUACAAAGGGCAGCUAAACCGCGAGGUCAUGCAAAUCCCAUAAAGUUGUUCUCAGUUCGGAUUGUAGUCUGCAACUCGACUACAUGAAGCUGGAAUCGCUAGUAAUCGUAGAUCAGCAUGCUACGGUGAAUACGUUCCCGGGUCUUGUACACACCGCCCGUCACACCACGAGAGUCUGUAACACCCGAAGCCGGUGGAGUAACCAUUUAUGGAGCUAGCCGUCGAAGGUGGGACAAAUGAUUGGGGUGAAGUCGUAACAAGGUAGCCGUAUCGGAAGGUGCGGCUGGAUCACCUC